AACGAAAUAAAAGCAAAGAAAACAAAGCAAAAAGGGAAUUCCCUCCCCCACACUUAAAACAAGCAUUGUCCUCAAUGAAAGGACAUAGUUAUUGAAGUUGAGAGAAAGGAAUAAGAACUCCCUGAUCAAGUUGCAGUUUAGUUGGGUGCUUCCAAAGAAAGCUCCUAUAUGCUUGCAUUGUCAUGCGCUGAACUCUCAUGAAAUAGCUUUAGG
rnacentral:lncRNA from 1 species